UGAACGCUGGCUGUGUGCCUAAUACAUGCAUGUCGAGCGAUGAUAGCAAUAUCAUAGCGGCGAAUGGGUGAGUAAACACGUACUCAACGUACCUUUUAGAUUGGGAUAGCGGAUGGAAACAUCCCGAUAAUACCGAAUACUUAUUAUUUUUGCAUGAAAGUAAUAUAAAAGGAAGCGUUUGCUUCGCUAAAAGAUCGGAGUGCGCAACAUUAGCUAGUUGGUGAGGUAACGGCCCACCAAGGCGAUGAUGUUUAGCGGGGUUGAGAGAUUGAUCCGCCACACUGGGACUGAGAUACGGCCCAGACUCCUACGGGAGGCAGCAGUAGGGAAUAUUCCACAAUGGACGAAAGUCUGAUGGAGCGACACAGCGUGCAGGAUGAAGGCCCUAUGGGUUGUAAACUGCUGUGGUUAGGGAAGAAAAAGUAGCAUAGGAAAUGAUGCUACCUUGACGGUACCUGAUUAGAAAGCAACGGCUAACUAUGUGCCAGCAGCCGCGGUAAUACAUAGGUUGCAAGCGUUAUCCGAAAUUAUUGGGCGUAAAGCGUCUGUAGGUUGUUUGU
rnacentral:rRNA from 1 species